UCGUGGGAUUUGAAACGAUCUCAAUCUUCUUCUUUCUUCAUUCAUUAUUCUUUCACCCCAUCCCACUCCUUCCACUCUCUCCACAACCGAAACCCUAGACAACUCCCUCCCAGCGCCGCGUCUGAAGAUUGGGGAUUUUGUCGACCAAAUUUCGGAGGAAAUAGCUAUCACCGAUAACAUCUACUCAGAAACACCGAUUCGUUUCUACUAGGUUCAAAAUGCCGAAAAGAGGUCGUCCGCGCUCCCAAGCAUCACAGGAUGCAGAUAACCAGCUUAGAGUCGACAAAGACAGUGUUGUCGACGACAUUAUUCCCGUGGCGCUAGCAAAAAGAUUUAGGGAGAGGUUAGCCGAGAUAGGCCCUGGGACCUCUGGUAGUCAAGGUGAGCCUAAACCACCUACGGGGCGAAAACUUAGCACAGUCUUUGUUGGAAGACUUAGCACUUUAGAUAUUUUUACAACCUUGAAUACACUGAACAAUGUUUUUGAGCAUAGUCUUUCUAAUUUUGAUCUUGUGAACACUCAGCCGAACCGUAUGUGCAUUCUUUUUAAUCAGACGGAUACAAAUACUUUGU